AUGAACGCUAGCGACAGGCUUAACACAUGCAAGUCGAGGGGCAGCGGGGGUAGCAAUACCCGCCGGCGACCGGCGCACGGGUGAGUAACGCGUAUGCAACUUACCUAUCAGAGGGGGGAUAACCCGGCGAAAGUCGGACUAAUACCGCAUAAAGCAGGGGCCCCGCAUGGGGAUAUUUGCUAAAGAUUCAUCGCUGAUAGAUAGGCAUGCGUUCCAUUAGGCAGUUGGCGGGGUAACGGCCCACCAAACCGACGAUGGAUAGGGGUUCUGAGAGGAAGGUCCCCCACAUUGGUACUGAGACACGGACCAAACUCCUACGGGAGGCAGCAGUGAGGAAUAUUGGUCAAUGGGCGUAAGCCUGAACCAGCCAAGUCGCGUGAGGGAUGAAGGUUCUAUGGAUCGUAAACCUCUUUUAUAAGGGAAUAAAGUGCGGGACGUGUCCCGUUUUGUAUGUACCUUAUGAAUAAGGAUCGGCUAACUCCGUGCCAGCAGCCGCGGUAAUACGGAGGAUCCGAGCGUUAUCCGGAUUUAUUGGGUUUAAAGGGUGCGUAGGCGGCCUUUUAAGUCAGCGGUGAAAGUCUGUGGCUCAACCAUAGAAUUGCCGUUGAAACUGGGGGGCUUGAGUAUGUUUGAGGCAGGCGGAAUGCGUGGUGUAGCGGUGAAAUGCUUAGAUAUCACGCAGAACCCCGAUUGCGAAGGCAGCCUGCCAAGCCAUGACUGACGCUGAUGCACGAAAGCGUGGGGAUCAAACAGGAUUAGAUACCCUGGUAGUCCACGCAGUAAACGAUGAUCACUAGCUGUUUGCGAUACAGUGUAAGCGGCACAGCGAAAGCGUUAAGUGAUCCACCUGGGGAGUACGCCGGCAACGGUGAAACUCAAAGGAAUUGACGGGGGCCCGCACAAGCGGAGGAACAUGUGGUUUAAUUCGAUGAUACGCGAGGAACCUUACCCGGGUUUGAACGCAUUCGGACCGAGGUGGAAACACCUUUUCUAGCAAUAGCCGUUUGCGAGGUGCUGCAUGGUUGUCGUCAGCUCGUGCCGUGAGGUGUCGGCUUAAGUGCCAUAACGAGCGCAACCCUUGCCACUAGUUACUAACAGGUUAGGCUGAGGACUCUGGUGGGACUGCCAGCGUAAGCUGCGAGGAAGGCGGGGAUGACGUCAAAUCAGCACGGCCCUUACAUCCGGGGCGACACACGUGUUACAAUGGCGUGGACAAAGGGAAGCCACCUGGCGACAGGGAGCGAAUCCCCAAACCACGUCUCAGUUCGGAUCGGAGUCUGCAACCCGACUCCGUGAAGCUGGAUUCGCUAGUAAUCGCGCAUCAGCCAUGGCGCGGUGAAUACGUUCCCGGGCCUUGUACACACCGCCCGUCAAGCCAUGGGAGCCGGGGGUACCUGAAGUCCGUAACCGCGAGGAUCGGCCUAGGGUAAAACUGGUGACUGGGGCU
rnacentral:rRNA from 1 species